UACGUAGGGAGCAAGCGUUGUCCGGAAUCAUUGGGCGUAAAGCGCGCGUAGGCGGCCCGAUAAGUCCGCUGUGAAAGUCCACGGCUCAACUGUUGAAAGCCGGUGGAUACUGUCGGGCUAGAGUACGGAAGAGGCAAGUGGAAUUCCUGGUGUAGCGGUGGAAUGCGCAGAUAUCAGGAGGAACACCCAUAGCGAAGGCAGCUUGCUGGGACGUUACUGACGCUAAGGCGCGAAAGCGUGGGGAGCGAACAGG
rnacentral:rRNA from 1 species